GUCCACGCCCUAAACGAUGGCAACUAGUUGUUGGGGGAGCAAUCCCUUAGUAACGAAGCUAACGCGUGAAGUUGCCCGCCUGGGGAGUACGGUCGCAAGAUUAAAACUCAAAGGAAUUGACGGGGGCCCGCACAAGCGGUGGAUGAUGUGGUUUAAUUCGAUGCAACGCGAAAAACCUUACCUACCCUUGACAUGUCUGGAAGUCCGCUGAGAGGUGGAUGUGCUCGAAAGAGAGCCAGAACACAGGUGCUGCAUGGCUGUCGU
rnacentral:rRNA from 1 species